rnacentral:misc_RNA from 1 species
AAGUCGUAACAAGGUUUCCGUAGGUGAACCUGCGGAAGGAUCAUUACCGAAGUACAGGCCCUCUCGUAGGGCUAAACUUCCACCCUUUGUGAACUACACUUUGUUGCUUUGGCGAGACGCCCUCGUGGCCACCGGCUCCGGCUGGUGCGCGCUCGCCAGAGAAAACCCAAACCCAAACCAUAUUUAGUGAUUUGUCUGAAAACAAGUUUAAUUAUUUAAAACUUUCAACAACGGAUCUCUUGGCUCUG